ACGUCGAAAAAGCAAAGCUAGCGAAAACUAGUGACGCAAAACUAAAGGGACUAAAGCUCGUCUCAUGCUAGCUAAGUCAGCCAGUUACCAAA
rnacentral:ncRNA from 1 species